GAUAGCUCAGCUGGUUGGAGCAUGGUGCUGGUAACGCCAAGGUUGCAGGUUCAAUCCCUGUAAGGGACA
rnacentral:tRNA from 1 species